rnacentral:rRNA from 1 species
ACUUACGGCCAUACCAGCCUGAAUACGCCCGAUCUCGUCCGAUCUCGGAAGCUAAGCAGGGUCGGGCCUGGUUAGUACUUGGAUGGGAGACCGCCUGGGAAUACCAGGUGCUGUAAGCG